rnacentral:lncRNA from 1 species
UAAAUCUUUUUGUUUUACAAACAAAACGUGUUUAAAUAAAAUGAUUUUAUAAAUUGUCUUGAAAUUGAAUGAUGACUUUGAAAAUAGAGUAAUUGGAGACCACUUGAGGUGUUGUAAAUUCAUGGUUUGAAUUGACUGGCUUAUGAUAAUAUUUGCAUGAAUGGCUGAAUUGGUAUUUGUGUUGAAAUAUAUGAACUGUGUAUUUAGCCUUGA